UUAAAGACUGUGAUUAGGAGAAGUACUUAUUUGGAUACUUUAAGAGAGUGGCUGGUUGGUGAAAAGUCAUAGAGAAGAUUAAGGAAAAUCACCUAGGAGUUUGAUGCUGAAAGGUUUAAAAUUACUGAUUAAGUUUUUCACGUUAUCCUGCGUUAAGGGAUAGAGUAUGUUUGUACUCGAAUCGAAAGGUUUUUCAUAUUUAUUUAUGGGGAACUUCUAACCUUAGGUGGUAUAGCGAAUACUCUUCGUCCUAUUG
rnacentral:ncRNA from 1 species